rnacentral:rRNA from 1 species
GAUUCAUGAUAACUCCUCGAAUCGCAUGGCCUUGCGCCGGCGAUGGUUCAUUCAAAUUUCUUCCCUAUCAACUUUCGAUGUUUGGGUAUUGGCCAAACAUGGUUGCAACGGGUAACGGAGGGUUAGGGCUCGACCCCGGAGAAGGAGCCUGAGAAACGGCUACUACAUCCAAGGAAGGCAGCAGGCGCGCAAAUUACCCAAUCCCGACACGGGGAGGUAGUGACAAUAAAUACUGAUACAGGGCUCUUUUGGGUCUUGUAAUUGGAAUGAGUACAAUUUAAAUCCCUUAACGAGGAACAAUUGGAGGGCAAGUCUGGUGCCAGCAGCCGCGGUAAUUCCAGCUCCAAUAGCGUAUAUUAAAGUUGUUGUGGUUAAAAAGCUCGUAGUUGAACCUUGGGCCUGGCCGUCCGGUCCGCCUCACCGCGUGUACUGGCUCGGCCGGGCCUUUCCUUCUGGGGAGCCCUAUGCCCUUCACUGGGCGUGGCGGGGAACCAGGACUUUUAC